AGAGUUUGAUCCUGGCUCAGAACGAACGCUGGCGGCGUGCUUAACACAUGCAAGUCGAACGAGAAAUUUUUCCUUCGGGAAAGAGAGUAAAGUGGCGCACGGGUGAGUAACGCGUAGAUAAUCUACCCUGGUGUCUGGGAUAACAUCGCGAAAGCGUUGCUAAUACCGGAUACGCUCCUUCGGGAGGAAAGGUGGCCUCUUCUUGAAAGCUAUCGCAUUGGGAUGAGUCUGCGUACCAUUAGCUAGUUGGUGGGGUAAGAGCCUACCAAGGCUACGAUGGUUAGCGGGUCUGAGAGGAUGAUCCGCCACACUGGAACUGGAACACGGACCAGACUCCUACGGGAGGCAGCAGUGAGGAAUUUUGCGCAAUGGGGAAACCCUGACGCAGCGACGCCGCGUGGGUGAUGAAGGCUUUCGAGUCGUAAAGCCCUGUCAAGUGGGAAGAAGUGUGUAUACGUUAAUACCGUAUGCAUUUGACGGUACCACUAAAGGAAGCACCGGCUAACUCCGUGCCAGCAGCCGCGGUAAUACGGAGGGUGCAAGCGUUGUUCGGAAUUACUGGGCGUAAAGGGCGCGUAGGCGGCGUAACAAGUCAGGUGUGAAAGUCCAGGGCUUAACCCUGGAAGUGUAUCUG
rnacentral:rRNA from 1 species